GGAAUUCCGCCCGUUCUGAGCUCUGGAGGCGCUGAGUUCACCACCGGCAGAACUCGGC
rnacentral:pre_miRNA from 1 species